rnacentral:rRNA from 1 species
GGUGAACGCUGGCGGCGUGCCUAAUACAUGCAAGUCGAGCGAACAGAUGAGGAGCUUGCUCCUCUGACGUUAGCGGCGGACGGGUGAGUAACACGUGGAUAACCUACCUAUAAGACUGGGAUAACUUCGGGAAACCGGAGCUAAUACCGGAUAAUAUAUUGAACCGCAUGGUUCAAUAGUGAAAGACGGUUUUGCUGUCCCUUAUAGAUGGAUCCGCGCCGCAUUAGCUAGUUGGUAAGGUAACGGCUUACCAAGGCAACGAUGCGUAGCCGACCUGAGAGGGUGAUCGGCCACACUGGAACUGAGACACGGUCCAGACUCCUACGGGAGGCAGCAGUAGGGAAUCUUCCGCAAUGGGCGAAAGCCUGACGGAGCAACGCCGCGUGAGUGAUGAAGGUCUUCGGAUCGUAAAACUCUGUUAUUAGGGAAGAACAAAUGUGUAAGUAACUAUGCACGUCUUGACGGUACCUAAUCAGAAAGCCACGGCUAACUACGUG